UACGUAGGGUGCAAGCGUUGUCCGGAAUUAUUGGGCGUAAAGAGCUCGUAGGCGGUCUGUCACGUCGGCUGUGAAAACCCGAGGCUCAACCUCGGGCCUGCAGUCGAUACGGGCAAACUAGAGUACUGCAGGGGAGACUGGAAUUCCUGGUGUAGCGGUGAAAUGCGCAGAUAUCAGGAGGAACACCGAUGGCGAAGGCAGGUCACUGGGCCGCAACUGACGCUGAGGAGCGAAAGCGUGGGGAGCAAACAGG
rnacentral:rRNA from 1 species